rfam:Saprospiraceae bacterium KD52 Scaffold1_2, whole genome shotgun sequence.
AGGAGCCGUGUACGAGGCCCGUACGCACGGUUCUGUGAGAGGGAUAAAGUAGAAGGAUGCAUCCUUCUACUUUAC